CUCAGAUGGUACCAGUGGGAUCAAGAAAUGACUCGAUCCAACUUGUGAAGCUCUAUAUGAAAGUAUGAAGAUGGUCUACGCAGAGGGUUUCUAUGCUUGUCAGCCGUCUCUCGUUUCCUCUGCCUUCCAUUCCAUAAUCCUCAGGAGACAUGGGAAGUUUGACCCCCCCAGGAAGCUUUCGCACAGGAUGUACAGUAGUAAAGCCUUAAGAAGGAGCAAAGUAUUGUGCACUUAUACAUUUAGAAGGUUACAACGUUUAACAAAGCCUCCCAAAGGGUCCUUAACGUCAGAUAAACAUCAGAGCAGGGACGUCCUCCUCUCUCUCCAUCCAUGGAUGGUCAUGUGCCAUAAACCGGGAGGGUCUAUUACAAGAUCACAGAGGAUGAUAUACCAUCAGCCAUUUAGAAGA